AGUGAACGCUGGCGGUAGGCCUAACACAUGCAAGUCGAACGGCAGCACAGUAAGAGCUUGCUCUUACGGGUGGCGAGUGGCGGACGGGUGAGGAAUACAUCGGAAUCUACUUUUUCGUGGGGGAUAACGUAGGGAAACUUACUCUAAUACCGCAUACGACCUACGGUUGAAAGCAGGGGAUCUUCGGACCUUGCGCGAUUGAAUGAGCCGAUGUCGGAUUAGCUAGUUGGCGGGGUAAAGGCCCACCAAGGCGACGAUCCGUAGCUGGUCUGAGAGGAUGAUCAGCCACACUGGAACUGAGACACAGUCCAGACUCCUACGGGAGGCAGCAGUGGGGAAUAUUGGACAAAGGGCGAAAGCCUGAUCCAGCCAUACCGCGUGGGUGAAGAAGGCCUUCGGGUUGUAAAGCCCUUUUGUUGGGAAAGAAAAGCAGCAGGUUAAUACCCCGCUGUUCUGACGGUACCCAAAGAAUAAGCACCGGCUAACUUCGUG
rnacentral:rRNA from 1 species